GUGCUUGCUUUGGCAGCAUACAUACUAAAAUCGGAGUGAUAUGGAGAAGAUUAGCAUAGCUCCUGCACAAGGGUGACAUGCAAAUUCAUGAAGCAUUACAUAUUUUU